UUUUUUUUUUUUUUUUCUCAAAAGGUCUAACAUGGUGGUGGAAGGUAGAAAUCUUUGGGAUACUUAGACUUCAAGUCUUUUACAAGAGGGACAACCCUAUUUUGGGAAACAAUAUCUCAUGGGAAGAAAACUGUACACACUGAACGCAUAGCCCGCUUAGAGAUCACAUCGCCUCUUAGAGACCAUGUCACCUCCUAUCUGUCACCCUUCCUCUUCCUGUCACAGUGACAGGUCUUCACUAGCUGGCUUCUUUCUGUACUUGCUGACUUCUGUCAUAUUUCUUUCCAGAUGUGUUUACAGGUCCCUGUAAGCAGUGUUAGGUCCAUAGGCUUUUAUGACUCCAGUCUGCAAGCAGUGUUAGGUUGACCUCAUAGGCUUUUAUGAUUCCAGUCUGCUGGUAUGAAGCAGAGCAUCAAAAAAAAUUCGUGAUUCCUUGAGUGUCCACACGUUUUGUCUUUGGGGGUUAAGGGUUGGGAUUUUGGGUUUGUUGUUAAUUUUGUUGUUUUAAAGGUAAAUUGCACUUUUAAAAAUUGGUUGACUUAAUAUAUUUGCUCUUUUUUUUUUUUUACCUGCACUUAGAGAGGAAAUUUGAACACCAGAAACCACUUUUUUUUUCUCCCUGUUUAUUUGUUUGGAUUCUGAGAAACUUGCAGCUCUUCACCAUUUACUCCUGAUGUUUCUUGUAUGGGGCCGUGGCCCUUUUGGUUGUUUUUGGUCAUUUUCUUAAAAACACAACACAACACAAUACAACACAACAGUUUUAAACCUGAAGAUUUCCGCAGUCCGUGUAAGCAUGUUUACCCGUUGGCUCGCUUUCUGUGUCUGUUAAAUGAAUGUCAUAUGUAAAUGCUAAACUAAGUCAACAGUGUCUCAGAACUGAAUAACUGCAGUGACUUGAUGCUCUAAAUCAUUGUAGGAUUUACCGCUAGAUGGUUUUGAACCCUUGAACCUGUGAUUGUGACCCAUGAGGGGGGACCUUUCAGUGCUAAAGCUGAUCAUGUGUGUAGCCAGAAAGGUACUUUUUUUCUUUUAAUUUUUGUUUUAUUUUUUGUAACCACUGUCUUAAUGGCAAAAUAAUUAUGGUAAAAUACAAGUCUCGUGUUUAUUAUUCCUUAAGAAGUCUGUGUUAUAUUACCACGGAACACCCAAUAAAGCAAAAUGUGGUUGUUUCAGAGGUGUGUCUGUAUUGAGACUCCCACAGUGUGUCGGCCUCUCCUCUGACGUGAUGCAUGGGGAAGCCCUGGCCUGGCUUAGCCUUGGGCUUGGUCCAGCCCAUGAGUGCUCACCCCCAUGCUCAUCCCAGGUUCCUGUGAGUAUCCUGGCUACAGGAUGAAUUCUCAACCCAUGUAGUGCCAUUCCUGGGGGAUGAGGACCACGGAGGCUGAGGAUCAUCAGUGUCUUAAAACCCCAUCCCGGAAAGGCAGUGAGCAUCCCGGAGUGCCAAGCCAAAUUUGAACCUGGGGUUCAAGUGGGGCCACAGAAGGCGAGGUGGGGUUUUAGUCGAGGUGCUGGGCUUGCUUCUCAUGUGUUUACUCUGGGAAAUCUUCUCACUACAUGGGUGCAGGGGAGAAAGAGAUUGCCUAGAGUGUCCCGACACCUCAGUGGAGGUGCUGUCGAAACCAGGACCAAGGCCUAGGCUUCCAUCAUCAGCUCAGGAUGGAGGAUGCUGGUGGGGGUGAGAGUCAGGCUGGGUUUCUGGGUAUCAGUUUGCACAGUUCCUUGCUUUGAGUGCUGUUGGUUCUGAAUGAAGAAGAUGUGUGCUUUGGGCAUCUUGUGCCUAUCAUAUGUUAGGGAUGGUUUACCCCCACCCCACAACAUCCUAUCAUUAUUAUCACUAUUUAUUAUUGUCUAAACUGUAUAUGAGGCAACACACAGAAUUACACAGGCCCAGCCUGGUGAUUCACAGGGGCAAAUGCCAAGCAUUCCGGAGGGCGAGGAGAGACUGGGUGACAUAAUGAGAUCAUCCC
rnacentral:lncRNA from 1 species